CUUCCCUACUGCAAUACACCCACUACACCUACUCCUUUACAGGCAAUCAAAUCAUUACAUAUCUUAGCAAAUCUUAUCCCAAAUUUUAGCAGAUCUUAUGCAGGAUCUUUACAGCUCCUUGCAGGAUCUUUACAGCUCCCCAAGACUCCUCUGUUGUUUCAAAGAUAUACAACAGCCAAGCUCUCUCUCACUUAUUCCACCAAAAUAUUUUCGUAAGGCCCCUUCACCAAAUUUCUCAACCUGCAGCAAGCUUCUUUCUACAGCAAUAAGAAUCUAAGUUCUUUUCCUUCUUGAUUGUGCAGUAACAACUCCCUAGCAAAGCAAAGAGCUUCAAAGGCUUUGAGCAUCAGAAGGAUUAGCACUGCUACUCCGAUUCAGAGAUAAGGUUAAACGACAGGCUUUGCCUAUACAGGUUGAGCAGUUGAUGGAAUGGAAUGAUGUUGAGCGGGUGUUCCUUUGACAUUUCAAGAAAUAUAACCUUGAGUAUACAUCUUCAUAUGUAUAUCUCACACGUUUUUCCGCUGCAAAACACUUUGAUUAGGAUAACUCUAUGUUAUGAAGUUGUUACACGUGUUAUUGGGUAACCCACCUUAAUCAGUUCUCUUUUAUGUGUAUGUUUUAUAAGUAUCCAAAUGAUCAUAUAUGAUCCUAGCUUUUUAUCUAUAAGUGAUAUUUUCAUAUACUUUAAUGUUAAGUAAUUGUCCAUUUC